GCAGGAAUGAGAGUUAAUAUAAAUGAUUUAUUAACUUGCUUGACUAGGUCUUAUAAAAUUCUGGAUAAAGCUUAUAAUGAAAACUUUAUAUCUAUAGGUCUCGGCCAAAUCUUGUGCCAGCAGCCGCGGUAAGACAAGGGAGACGAGUGUUAGUCAUCUUUAACAGGUAUAUAGGGUACCUAGACGGUGUGCAAAGGCUUAGAAAAGUACCUGCCACACUUGAGUUUGAUAUGGGAGAGGAAAAUGUCAGAAUUGUUGGAGUACAGAUGAAAUCGGCUAAUACUAAUAAGACUGAUAACGGCGAAGGCAAACCUCUAUCUACAAGUGCUUAAUCUUAAUAUCCAAAAAACCAACAACUAUUGGGACCAGAUGGAGAAUACUAAGAAAGAACGAAAGAGAAUUUUUUUCUUUUAUUUUUUAAGAUAUAAGUACUAUAACUGACGUUGAGGGACGAAGGCUCAGAGAGUGAAGAGGAUUAGAUACCCCCGUAGCCUGGGCAGACAAUGAUGAGUGCCAUAGGUUAGCCUUAGGCUGAACUAUAAAUGAAAGUGGAAGCACUCCACCUCAAGAGUAAUGUGGCAACGCAGGAACUGAAAUCAUUAGACCGUUUCUGAAACCAGUAGUGAAGUAUGUUAUUUAAUUCGAUGAUCCUCGAAUAACCUUACCACAAUUUGAAUGAUCUAAAAAAAAAGGUUUACUUUUGUAAAUUAAGGUUUACUUUUUAAAUCUAAGGUUUAGACCACCNNCGUUGCAUGGCUGUCUUCAGUUAAUGUCGUGAGAUUUGGUUAGGUCCAUUAAAUUAACGUAAACCCUUGUUUUAUUUAAUACAAUAAGGCAGCUCUCCGCUUACAAUUGGAUGUGAUAAUAGGACU
rnacentral:rRNA from 1 species